rnacentral:misc_RNA from 1 species
AACGCACAUUGCGCCCCUUGGUAUUCCAUGGGGCAUGCCUGUUCGAGCGUCAUAUAUACCUUCAAGCUUUGCUUGGUGUUGGGCGUUGUCACGCGACUCGCCUCAAAUCAAAUUUACUGGCAGUGGCAUAUGGUGCAGCACAUGUACCUGCCCCGUCCGCUAAACCUUAAUUUGACCUCGGAUCAGGUAGGGAUACCCGCUGAACUUAA